AAGGGCCUGAGCCAGUAAUCCAUAGGCUUAGCGGAGGCAACGUGCCUUUGUGGGGCGUGCGGGGUGGAUGUAUGGCCGGGAGAUUGGAUGGGCGGGCGGCGUGCGUGGCUCCCAUUGUGUCCCCGCGCCGUGGGAGGGGGCUGCGGGGUCUCCUCCUCCUCCUCCUCCUCCUCCUCGGCUCGAGAUGGAGUUUGGGCUACAAAAAUCCCUGCAAAGUCAUCCCUGCUGGGAAAAAGAACCCUCAAGACAAAACCCAAGUUAUCCAGCAGGGGCAGAAGGGAAGAGAGGAGACCCCAACUCUGCUCCCUGUGAAGGGGUGGGAGUUUGCAUCACCGAGUCCUACACCACAGAGCCUUGCACUCACACCUGCACGCAGAGUGACUCGGUCUCCCCAUCCCAGCCCCCAAACACAGGCGAACAGGCUGGCAGGAAGAGCGUGCUGAAAAGGAUCUGACAGUUUGAACAACACUCGAUGACUUAGUUUGUUUUCCCUGACUUUGCGCCAGCGAGCAGGUCUAUGGAUGAAAGACUUUAUUAGGCUUUUAAAGCCACUGACACCGGUCUUUCUUUGACCUGAGGUACUUGAGAAGAAACGAAAACAACGUGUAACUUUCAUGGAGUUGAAAGACUGCCCAAAGCGAAGAAUACUGUUAACAAGAGACCCAAAGUAUCACAAAACACUUCCCAGGGCGACACGCGGUGGAGCAGAGCAGGGGGAGAACCCUGGGCACGGGGCGAGGAUGCUCAGGCAUUGCUGAUGUGGCAAUCAGGAUGAGGAGAGAGCAUCGCGUCCAGCAGCCAUGACCAGCCAGCAGUUUUCCCAAUGUAGGAAAAUGCUGAAAAUUCACUCUUCCUAUGCAGAGACCAUAAGCAUGCAGGUGAUCCUCGUGCUGUCUGAGUGCCAGCACUGCAACCAUGGGACGGGCACGAGAGCAAAGCUGUGCUGAGGUGCUGGGGUGGCACUGGUGAUGCUGUUGGUAGCAUCAAGGAGCAUAACGAGGCCAGCUGCAUCCUCCUCCUAAAGAGAGCCCUAAAAGGGUCAGAGCUGGUUCCAAGAGUUAUUGGAAUUAUCCCAUCCUCAGGGAUGGAAUGAGAAUUUCUCAUUAAUUUUCUGAACGACUGCUUUGUUCCUCAAGGAGCUGGGCUGAGGGAUUUUG
rnacentral:lncRNA from 1 species